rnacentral:rRNA from 1 species
GACGAACGCUGGCGGCGUGCUUAACACAUGCAAGUCGAACGGAAAGGCCUGCUUUCCCUUGUGGAUUGCGGGUACUCGAGUGGCGAACGGGUGAGUAACACGUGAGUGAUCUGCCCCCAACUUGGGUAUAAGCCUGGGAAACUGGGUCUAAUUCCCGAUAGGACUGCAGGGUGGUGCCUGUGGUGGAAAACGAUUUUCUAGUGGUUGGGGAUGAGCUCGCGGCCUAUCAGCUUGUUGGUGGGGUAAUGGCCUACCAAGGCGGCGACGGGUAGCCGGCCUGGGAGGGUGGACGGCCACAUUGGGACUGAGAUACGGCCCAGACUCCUACGGGAGGCAGCAGUGGGGAAUAUUGCACAAUGGGCGGAAGCCUGAUGCAGCGACGCCGCGGGGGGGAUGACGGCCUUCGGGUUGUAAACUCCUUUCGACCGCGAGGAAGCCACCUGGUUGGAAGGGUGGUGACGGUAGUGGUAGAAGAAGCACCGGCCAACUACGUG